GAUGAACGCUAGCGGCAGGCUUAAUACAUGCAAGUCGAGGGGCAGCGCGGGUAGCAAUACCUGGCGGCGACCGGCAAACGGGUGCGGAACACGUACGCAACCUUCCCGAAACUGGUGAAUAGCCCUCCGAAAGGAGGAUUAAUACACCGUAAGAUAACGAAGAGGCAUCUCUUUGUUAUUAUAGCUACGGCGGUUUUGGAUGGGCGUGCGCCUGAUUAGGUAGUUGGCGGGGUAACGGCCCACCAAGCCUACGAUCAGUAACUGGUGUGAGAGCACGACCAGUCACACGGGCACUGAGACACGGGCCCGACUCCUACGGGAGGCAGCAGUAAGGAAUAUUGGUCAAUGGAGGGAACUCUGAACCAGCCAUCCCGCGUGAAGGAUGAAGGGGCUCUGCCUUGUAAACUUCUUUUGCAUGGGACGAAAAACUUAAUUUAUUAAGGACUGACGGUACCAUGAGAAUAAGCACCGGCUAACUCCGUGCCAGCAGCCGCGGUAAGUGA
rnacentral:rRNA from 1 species